UACGUAGGGUGCAAGCGUUGUCCGGAAUUAUUGGGCGUAAAGAGCUCGUAGGCGGCUUGUCGCGUCUGCUGUGAAAUCCCGAGGCUCAACCUCGGGCGUGCAGUGGGUACGGGCAGGCUAGAGUGCGGUAGGGGAGAUUGGAAUUCCUGGUGUAGCGGUGGAAUGCGCAGAUAUCAGGAGGAACACCGAUGGCGAAGGCAGAUCUCUGGGCCGCUACUGACGCUGAGGAGCGAAAGCAUGGGGAGCGAACAGG
rnacentral:rRNA from 1 species